AUUGAACGCUGGCGGCAUGCCUUACACAUGCAAGUCGAGCGGCAGCGCGGGGGCAACCCUGGCGGCGAGCGGCGGACGGGUGAGUAAUACAUCGGAACGUGUCCUUUCGUGGGGGAUGACCAGUCGAAAGACUGGCUAAUACCGCAUGAGAUCUCACGAUGAAAGCGGGGGACCGCAAGGCCUCGCGCGAUUGGAGCGGCCGAUGUCGGAUUAGCUAGUUGGCGGGGUAAAAGCCCACCAAGGCGACGAUCCGUAGCUGGUUUGAGAGAACGACCAGCCACACUGGGACUGAGACACGGCCCAGACUCCUACGGGAGGCAGCAGUGGGGAAUUUUGGACAAUGGGGGCAACCCUGAUCCAGCCAUGCCGCGUGUGUGAAGAAGGCCUUCGGGUUGUAAAGCACUUCCGGCCGGAACGAAAUCGCGCGGAUUAAUAACCCGCGUGGAUGACGGUACCGGAAGAAGAAGCACCGGCUAACUACGUGCCAGCAGCCGCCGUAA
rnacentral:rRNA from 1 species